GUGGCAGAGGCCUAGUCUUGGUGCUUCUGCCCUGACACGCACAACGGAGCACACGUGUGAAGCACAGAGGCAGGCGAGCACUGCCACCUUUGUGCAAACGAUGUGGUAGAGAUCUUUGUAGAAGAUGAUGUGGUAUUGCAGUCCGUGUCCUCUGUUGCAUACUUCAAGCUGCCUGCUUGGACUUCCAUCUUAAUUCGCAAGUGCAGUUUGAAAGACGCCCCAUUUGGGCAUCAGAUCUGUGAGGAGCCUGUUGUGGCCUUCUUCCAAGGGAACUG
rnacentral:lncRNA from 1 species